GGAGAGGUGCCCGAGCGGCCGAAGGGGCGCGAUUCGAAAUCGCGUAGGGGCGCGAGCCCCUCGUGGGUUCAAAUCCCACCCUCUCCG
rnacentral:tRNA from 1 species